UACGGGGGGGGCAAGCGUUGUUCGGAAUUACUGGGCGUAACGGGCUCGUAGGCGGCCAACUAAGUCAGACGUGAAAUCCCCCGGCUUAACCAGGGAACUGCGUCUGAUACUGGAUGGCUUGAGUUUGGGAGAGGGAUGCGGAAUUCCAGGUGUAGCGGUGAAAUGCGUAGAUAUCUGGAGGAACACCGGUGGCGAAGGCGACAUCCUGGACCAACACUGACGCUGAGUGAGCGAAAGCCAGGGGAGCAAACGGG
rnacentral:rRNA from 1 species